AAAGAAAAAAAAAAAGAAAAAGAAAAAGGGAUACUUUCUUUUUGGAGAGAAAAUGUUAUAAGCAGGGAUCCAGAUAUCUUCUUCCUUUUAUCUCUAAUUGAUCAUCCAUGUUAUAUACAGUAUGAUCAGGGAGACAAUAAACAUCACAAUUACCUGUUCCAGAAUCUUCCUUGAGGGGUCGCCCUCUGGAAAUAGGAACGCCCAUCCCCUUGUCCAGAUCUCAAAUGCCUCAUCCUUCCACACCACGAAGCUU